AUGGGACAGAACAAUACAUUCUUGUUACCACGAGAUGUAUUGGCCGCUAGAGAUCAUUUGAUUGGAAUGAAAUUUGGAACGGGUAUACUUGACGAUGACGAUAUCAAUCACUUGAAAAAUAAACGUAUUCGUUCGGUUGCGGAUCUGUUACAAGAUCAAUUCCGGUUGGCUCGCCAGGUCAAUUUAUAG
rnacentral:rRNA from 1 species